AAAUAAGUUUGAAUCAUAUUUCAUUUUUAUUUUUUAAAAUCGUUAGACAAAAAUUUUAAUUUCAUUUUCUUUUCGAAGAAAAAAAGAAAGAAAGAGAAGUUUUUCUAUCGUUUCACAAUUUUAUUCAAAUUAUAAUAUUUUUCGUAUUUCACUCGUUUUAAUUUAAUUCAAUUUAAUUUAUAAUAAUAAUAAUAAUAAAUUUGUAUUAUUUUAAUACCAACACGUAUUUCUAAAAUUUCCGCUCGGUUAUUUUAAUUUAUACCAUUUUACCUGAUUAUUUCAACCAGAAAUAGCAGAAAUAUCCCGUUUUCAUUAUCUGUGAAAUAUUCGUUCGUUAGACUUAUUCGAAUCGCGAUAAAGCUCGUUCUCCAAUCGUUCUCCAAUUAAUCGACAAUACAGACAAUAGCCCGAUACCACGAAGAUUAGAUAAUCCGUGAAUUGUAACCGCGAGUCCAUAAUAUAAAACUGUGUGUCGUCCGUUUAUCGUGGCUUCGUUCGUCGAUAAACAAAACCGUUUUAAUCCGACGAUGCGUUUCCGUCCUCUGCUGACUCUGCAGCUGUACACAUUUGUACAUCGGUGGAUUCGCGCUAACCGUUUGGCCAUUAUCAACCAUAUUCUCCUUUCCAACCAUUCAACUUUCAAGAACUGAAUUCGAAUUGAAUUUAAUCGCACGUGAAACCUUGUUAAGGUUUAAAGUUCCAUUCCAUUCCGUUUUCACCUCCUUUUGUAACAACUUUUUCGAACGACAAUUCGUACUCUUCCAUUCCAAAUAUUCUCGAACACUACGAAAUUGAAUCUUGAAUUAAUCUCAACCUCAACGUUGGAGCAAGCAGCAAAAAUUCCAUUCGCUGGCCGGCCAAUCGGUCGUUUAUAAGCCAACGUUCAAUCGGACAACAACUGUUGAGAAUACAAAACGCGAGUUUGGGAAGCUGGCUCAGGUUGGUUGAGAUCCACACGAACGAGCUUAAGAUCGACGUGGAACCGUGGCAAUGGGAGUGGCCAGGAAUCGAACGAGUUUAAGGAAUCGGAGAGCAGGGGAGGGAAAAGGGGGAGAAGGGAGGAGGUGAAGGGGGAUGGAAAGGGAGGACGAGAAAGUGGCUGCUUAAGAUUUCGGACGCGUGCUGCCUCUUCUUAACCUCUGCCUCGUCUGCGUUUUUUAACGCAAAAUCUCCCCCACCACCCCGCUAUUCCAGAUCUCUUGCCGAGUUUCUUUCAACUUCUCUCUGGGGUCGCAUCGGACCUCUCGGUUGCAAAUCCAAUUGGAAGAACCCGGCUCUCGUCGUCCUUCUUCUCGUGUGCCACGCUGUGAUUUCUUUCUUUCUUUUCGACUUUUCGUCGCCGCUUGACCCUUCCACUUCCCUUCUCGAUAGUUGGCCCCCCUUUCGUCGGGAACGAGCUUUCGUUCCUUGAAUUUCUAUGUUUUUCCCCUCUUUUUUUACCGCUAUUUAGAAAAGGUUGCGACGUCGUUUGGAAGGUGAAACGAAAGGAUCGUUUUCUUCGAUGAUAUCGAAGUGAAAUUUUCGUUUGAAAUUGUGUCGCAUAAACGAAUUGACUUUGACUCGAUCGAUGUAUAAAUUGUUCAUCGAUGAGAAGGGAAAAUAAUUAUUUUCUACUCUCGCAGCUACAAAAUAUCGUGAUUUUCCACGUUUCGAUUUGACGCGGGCUUGUUAAAUUAUCCGGUUGAAUCACGAUAAACACGUGGGACGAUAAUUGUCCCGUUACGAUAUUAAAUUCAUCGGUUGCUCCACGAUGAGUAAUUAUUCGACGGGGUUGCACGAUGAUCAAUCGAGACUAAUGGCUUCGUUUAAAAUGAAAUUCCGUUCAUCUCGCAAGUAAACUUCGAUAUCCAAAAUAAUAUCCACUUUGAAAUACGUAUAAAUACAUUUUCGCGUGAUAGCCGCUACCCAAGAAGCGGAAUCUUGUCCUUCGAGAAAAAGAAAGAAAGCCAAAAGAAGGCCCCCUCCUCACGAAAACAUAAGAAACGUUACUUUUCAUAACCGGCCAGUGAGAAAAACGUGGACUAGCAUCACCCGACUCGCCCUUUAUCGCUCUAAUCCCGGAAUAUUUUCCAUUCGGCUCGUCCAAUCUCAUCGAUCUCUGGCGCGGAAUAGAAUUGAUACCGUCGAUAUCCUCCCUCCCUCCUCGCACCUCGCUCGUCCACCGAUUUGCAUACGCUUUAUCCCUCAUCCUCUCGCUUUUGUUCCUGCACGAAGGCCGAGGACUUCUCUCCUCUCUUAUCGCCGACUUUUCUCGACCGAAUGGAAGGAUGGAUGAAGUAGCCCAGGCAUUAAGAAUCCAACUUCCCUCCUCGUCAAGGAUUGUUCUCCUCACGUAGCAUACAAGACCUCCCCUCCCUAUCCCAGAGAAGUUUUCCAAACCUUGCCUUCUUCCUGCCUGGGAAUAGGAACCGAACUCGAGAGUUUGCUUCAUGGGUACGUAAGCGUUAUCCGAUAAUUGUCCCCAUAUUGAACUAACCGUUCAAUCGUUUUUCGAGCCUUCCGUGCUUUCGUUACCCCUUCUUUCUUGCAAUUUUUCUAAGCGAUUAUUGUUAUUAUAUGAGAAAAGGGAAAAGUCCACGCCCUUUGAUUCGAAGGGGGUUUCGCAUUGGAUUGGGGGCAAACGAACGCGCGAUAUCCGUUCGUCGAUGAAAAGAGGAAUCGAGCUUUUUCUAUUCUUCACGAUCUUUUUUUUUUCUUUGUGGAAAUGGUUCGAAAGAACGAACAGUUCCAGAGACGUGGGACGACGUUUACAUCUAUCCCAGGCACGAACGCUCGAAGUUUGGUCGAAAUGUUCGGGAAAGAUGGAGGAAUUUUUUCCAAAAGGGCGUGAAAAAGGGUUCUUUCGUGACGCGCGAGGGGACGAAAUAUAUAUGGAGGAAUUUUGGAAAAAUAUUUCUUUCUCGAGAGGGAGGGAGAGGGAGGGACAUCUGUCUUGUUCAUUUCGGGUUGAAACGCUCGGCGGGGGAGAGGAAGUCGUUUUCGGCGAAAAAUUGAAAGGGGUUUUGGUAAACAACGCGAUAAAUAUCUGCGAGCAUUGAAUCGGAGUUUGUUGUUCGCGGCGGUGAAAUUGGGUCGAAGGAGGGGAGGGAAAAUGGGGCGGCGAUUUUCCUUCGAUCGCGCCUUUUUGUCGUCUGCCGCCAAUUCUAAUUAACGAUUUUUCCAACGAAUAUUAAUUUGCAAUGAAUAUUAAUGAAAUCCUGUUUCUUUAUUAAUAUGUCGAUUCUUCCUUGGAAUUUAUGGAGAGAAGCGCGCAAUAUUUACGAAAUUUUCCCUUUUCUUUUCUCGAGAAAAUAACUUUGAAUUAUUAUUCGGUACGUUCGCGAUUUUAAAUUUUCCUCGUAACGAUAUUAAAUCACGAUUACUUUAACAAGCACACUGUUCGAUUUGUAAACGUGUUUUUAUAAAAAUCAUCGUUUCAACAGAUUGAUCGCGAUCGAGCGUUAAACGAUCCACGUGAUUGGAAGAUAACCGACUCGAAAGAACGAAGACAAGCAGGUGUUACGGUGAUUCUUAAGUGGAUCUUGUUUUAUUGCCAGCCACCCGUAAUACGCCAUUAUUACGCCGUGUAACUUUACUCUCGCUCGAAUAUUCCCGCGUAUAACUCGGUAAUUCUAUUACAACGCGUAAUACGCGAGGCAUAAAUUGCUUUUAUUACCGUUUAUUUUUCAUUUCGGCGCGUGCACGGGAUAGGGGGGGAUGAAUUUACCUUCUCGAAAGGAGAUGGGGGAGAGGAGAAAAGGAAAGUAAGAGCGUAACUUAUCGCAACUUGAUCCACGCGUGAUCGUGCAAUGAAAUUUACGAUUUGCUUUCGGAAACGGUCAGUUUCGCAAAGUGUAUGAAAAAGUUUUGAAGAAAUUUCCGUGACAAUAUUUAAAUUGAAAAACUCAAGUUACAACUGGAAUAUUACCUCUUUUUUCCUUUUGUAUUCGAAGGAGGCGUUAAUUUCGAGGUCGAUGAUUUUUUUUCCAACUCGAAACACUCGCGCUACAUCUGUGAACCGAAAGCGAAAUAUGUUCAGAGUCGUUUCGAAUUUUUAAAAUUCGCGAGAUGUUCGAAAUUCGAUCCGAAUGAUCGAUCGGAGCGUCGCGCAAAACGUUCCGUCGUGAAAAUCCGAGUGGAACAAUAGGUGGCGAAACCCCAUUCGCUACCUAUCUAACCGUCCCAAGAAAACCCACCAGUUCUCUUAUCACCCAACGCAAUCUUCCUACUUUCCCGAGGAAUCCUCGCAAAGAGACAAAGGCGAAGAUCGAGGGGGCGAGGAAAGAACAACGUUUCCUUUCCCCCUUUCCAACUUCCCCAAAGAAUCGUUUCUUUCACUUCUUCUCUUCUUAUUUUCUUUCACACAUAUAUAUAUAUAUUUCUCCCUUUUUGGAGACGAUAUUUUUACAUUUUUACGUCUGUUCGCCGAACAUUUAUAGAUCGGCGAGGAAGAAGGGCAGAUAGUUCCCAGAAUCACUCGUUGGCCCAGGUACCAACGCCGGUUCCUCCGCUGGUUUGAAUGUCACGGCUCGCGAUAAGAAGAGGAAAAGGGAGGGGGAGGAGAGAACGGAGAGUUUCGUGGGGGCCGGUUUCUAUCUAUGUUAAUUACCGUGGCGGGCGUAAAUCACGAUCGCCCAGGUGCUCGGUCGGCAAAGUGGGUAAGGGCUGGCUGGCCUUCCCCGAACCGACACGGGCCCGCUGGAUAAAAGCUGUAAUUAAUUACGCAAUUAUCCAGACCACCCUCCCACCUUACGUUUUCGAGAUAAAAACCGUAUUUUUCGCUUCGAUGCGGAUUACCCUUUCUCCUUCUUCUUCUUCUUCUUCUUCGUGGUCGUCGUCGCGCCUCCCUCGAUUCUUCGAAUCGUCGUACCUCCUUUUUCUUUCCACUCGUCCCUAGGAUCUUGAUUUUUGGCGAGGGAUAAGUCGGAUAUUUCUCUUUUUCACUCUCGAGUUUUCGAACCGUCACCACUUUUCCUCCCUUUCUUUUUCUCUUUCUUUUUAUUCUUCCAUCGAAAUGGCCUUCUUCGAAUCGUUUAUUUCUUUCAUCCCCAACGACGAAAAUUUCAAAUUAGAUUUUUUUUUCGACAUCGAAACGGCAUCCUCCUCGAAUCGUUACUUUCCGUUAUAUUAUUACUCGUAUAAUUCAAAAAGAAGAGCUCGUUCGAGUCUCUUUUCAACUCGUUUAUUUCUUCUUUCACCCCCAACGACGAAAAUUUCAAAUUAGAUUUUUAUUCGUCGCUUAGAUUCGGAAUCGUGUCGCUGUUUUCUUUCUUGUUGUCCUAUUUUUUCCCUUAUCACGCACCCCCUUUUCCUUUCUUCCUUUCUUCGAGGAUAAGGAGCAACGCUUCUCCCCUCAGCUCCGCGAGUCAACCAUCGUUCGUCUCCAUUCUCUUCUCGCUUUCCAUUCUCAUCUCUUAUCCUUCUUCCCUUAUCCUUCCGCCCGCCCGCUUCUUCCGACUCCUCUUCCACCCCCUAUCUAUAUGGCAACCUACCUCUUUUUGCUACACCCGUUCCCCCAGCCAUCCCUGAUUUAGAGCUCAUUUUCGCCGGCCGAAAAGCUGUGCCGUUCUCACCCCCUGAAUCAACUUUGCGCCCUCCACAAAUCACCGUCGAGCCAUUAUAGCGCUCUCUCUUUCCUCCCCCGCCCUCUCCCUUGCUCUUCCCGCCUCUCUUCGAUCCUUUGGCGGGGAAGAGAGAGGGGAGGCUUCGUUUCAGCGGCAAAUUCUUCUCUUGGGGAGAGGGGGUUUGCGAAACUAGGCGACGCGCGUCAUUUCGGUCAUCUUCGAGCCCUCCUUCGAAAGGAAAUUUCCAUUGCAAGGAUUUUUUUCUCCCUUUUCUUAUCGAUCAAACCGAAGCUUUGAAUUUUAGAAUCUUAUGAAGGUUAAUAUAAUUCCAAAUAGAUUUUCGUAUCUCGUAUUGGAUCAUGUCUUCGACAUUAGCCCUAGUUUGACAAUGGCAAUAAUUUAUUUUCAAAGUUUUUUGUGAUGAUAUAGUAAUGAUCGAUUGAUUUUUCGAAAUUACUUCCACUUUUAAAGAAACGUUUACUCUCAACGAAAUGAGAAAGAUAUUUGAUAUUGCGAAUCGAGGCUGCAUCUCACAUUAUAAAAUAUUGAAACAAAGAAUGUAAUAUUUCUCUCUAGAAUAUCAAAAUAUAAAUAUUCCAUGUUAUAUAUAUUUGUGAAAUCGAAUUUCGAGUUGAAUCAUCGAGAAUCGAACGAGAGCAAUGGGGAGAUUGGACACUUCUCUCCGGAUUAAGAAAAAUGUAAAUUCUCGCUCAGGAGAGGUUAAGAAAGAGAGGCGAGAAACAGCGGAGAGGAAAAUCAACGACGAAAUAAAAGAAUUAAGGGUAGAGAGAUAAAGAUUAAGGGUAAUAAGGAGGUAAGGGAAACUGGGCGAGAAACGAGGCGAGGACGAGGACGCGUCCUUUCGUCGUGGUGCGGGCCUCUUAUCAUGGAAAACGAUACACGUGUAUCGGUCUCUUGAGAGGAGAAUGAAUCGCGCGCGUGUGUUGGUUGGGCUCACGUGUAUAUAUAUAUAUAUAUAUAUAUACAUAUGUACAGGCGUUAGAACGUUACAUUCUCCUAGAGUUACGUGUUAGAGGGGGUUUGAAAAUGGCCGACGCUCUUAUGAAUUGGUAUUAGAGGAUAAUUACGACGGUGAUCCCGAGGCGACGAUAUAUUAACGUCGUAACGCGAAACCUAAGGUAAGGGCAAGGAGGAGGGCAAUAACGCCCGGCUAGAGUCGUAAUUCCGUCGUAUUGGCUUAAAGAUCAAUUUAAGCCAGGGAUCGAUUCUUUUUAAAUUUAUUUCCACAAGCGAGAGCCCGUAACGUUGGAUGGAAAUUUCGGCGAUAAAUUCGAAGAGACCUUGUAAAAUUUCCUGCCACUACGAUACAGAAACAAAUAUCUCCCGAAAAAUCGAGAAACUAUCUUUGCAACCCUCCUCGGGACGACUAAUGAUGUAUUAGAAAUAAGCUUUGGAAAAUUAUCUCCGCACUGCGAAUACCAGCUCGUUCCACGGGAAGCGAUUACGAUCGAUCGAAUCGGCUCUCCCCUCCCGAUUUUCGUUUCCGGCCGGCUAAUCAACGAGGAGAGGAACGCGGCCCGAUUACCGAAGCGGACUUAACGGGCCUGGAAAAGGAUCGAGGCAGCAACAGCAUCAGCAAGUCGUUGGUAAUUCGAGCCAGCUUGCUCGAGACACGAAAGAAAAGGAGAGAAAUCGAGGCGAGCCCCACGGCAUUUUUGAUGUGGCCAUCGGCGCGUCCCCAUGAAUCUUUCAUGCGUCAAUCGCUUUCCACCCUUCUUCUUCUUCUUCUCCCCCUCCUCCUCCUCCGUAGAUGUCUCGUUGGUACUGCAGGAUCACCUUUCCAGGAUCCUUUCGUCCCUCCUCCUCCAUCAAAUCCCGCCAAUGCUACUUGGAGAGUUAUCAGUCAGCAGAAUCUGUCAAUCCGAACCGUAUUCCCGGGGUAUCGCAGCUUUCUCUCCUUUCGAUCCUUUUGAUCCUUCCUCUUAUUCUCUUUCGUCGCUUAUUCUCGCGAUUCACGUAUUCUCGUGAACUUGGGAUACUUGGGUGGUUAUAUUAUUGGACGGGUCGAGAGUUUGAGAGAGACUUUUUCACCGCGCGCUGAAGUUUCACGGUUGUCGAUUGAGGGAUCGAGACGAGGAGAGUAUAUAUCAUAUAUAUAUAUAUAUAUACGACAGUUCUUGGUGAAUAGUUUUUGACAGGGUAAUGUAGAGUGAUGUACAGAAUUGCAGUGAAGUAUUUUCGAAAUGAUUAGAAAGGAUAAAUAUAUAACACAGGAAAUAAAAUUAUCGUAGAUUGAAAAAGCUGAACGCUUUUUUCGAAAAGGAUCGGUAAAUUGAAAGCGAUCGUGAAUUCGUUUCGCACAUAGAAUCGCAUUGAUUUUCGGCUUUUUUUGACUUCACUGGGCACCAUCAUUUUUUCAUCGCAAGAUUUUAUCGAUUUUUCGAUACCACCUCUCGAAAACUUGACGUACUUCACACACAUACAUACAUACAAAUAUAUAUAUAUAAAAUAGUCGGUGCAAUUAAAAGGAGUGGUGCGAUUAAAAAGAUUUCACUUCUUCGAUCAGUGACAACUUUGACAACUUUUCGAAUCCACUUCCAACUUUUCUUUUUAUCCUUUUUAUCCAGGUUUUUAAGUCAAUUUUCAUUCUCUUUUAUCGAGCGAGAAAAACAAAUACCUGAAUGAUCUAUUGUCGACGUUUCAUGUUUUCCCGAUUGGACGAACCUCUUUAAACUUUCAAAGCUUCGAUUUAAUUAUUCCUUCCUAUGAAUUCUCUCUCUCUCUCUCUCUCUUUCUUUUUAUAUCCAUUUACCAGAUUUUCAUCAAUUGUCUGCUGCCGAUAUAAUAUAUUCAAAAACGAUCCUUUACUCGAAUUAUUUAUACAUCGCGAAAAAUAUUUCGAAACGAUUCCAAGCCAGAAGUUGAUCCGUUGUCAAAAAUUUUCCAACAAAGUUAUUCGUAGCUAUGGUUUGACAAUUGUCGCGUUUUGAAGAAUAAAUAAAUUCAGAUAUUAAUUUAGUCCUCGUCAAAAUAACUUUAUAUACGUAACUUCGUAUUCCUUUCUCAACAAUUUUAUUUCGAUUAAUCUCUCUUUAUUCCUACUUUUAUAACGUAAAAUACGACGCUUAAUAGUCACUACAAAUUUAUGUAAUAAACGAAAACCACUGUCGAGGAGAAAACUCGAUAAAUCUCCCUUCUAACGUCUAAAUAGAAAGUAAGAGGAAACGAAAUCCCGUUCAAACGGAUUUCAAAGCGAUCCAUGAAACGUUGGUAAGGAAAAAAUAUUUCGUACGCGCGGAUUAAAACGAUUUAUCCACAUUUUGUCUCUCGUAUCUUCGUAAACGACGCGAAUCUAAUGGGACGUUUUAUAUGUAUACGUGUAUAUAUUAAAUUCCUGCGCAAUCGCCGGCUCACUGUUUGUAACUACCCGACCCAGAUCGCGACAAGUAUCCUGUGAAUGCCGGGGAUAAUGAACACGAUUACGCUAACCGAAUUCUGUUCGUCCUUCGUUCCGAAAGUUAAUACGGUUUAAUGCAGUUGCGCGUGUAACGCCACGAAUCGUUGGCGGGGGCAUCGGUUUAGAUUCCGAUUAUUCACUUCUUUCCAAAAGAAUUUCGUAUUCGCAAACAUAUCUCCCAUUGAAAUUUUCUUCUUUUACAAAUUGUUUCUCUAUUUUUCUGAAUUCUUUACAAAAGGAAUCGAAACAUUUUUCGACUUUCCUUGGAAAGAUCAAAAAAUAUCUACCAAUUCUGAUAUCCACUUUCGAAAAUUUCCAAAAAACUUGGCGUGAAACACGAUCUAAAUCCCCCUGCUCCUUGAGCGACACCAGAAGAAGGAGAGAAGGUAUAAUAAGGAUCCGUAUCCUGAUCGACAACAACAUGGGAGUCUAAUCGUGAUUUGGGUCGACUCCGGAAUCCGAUUCGAAUUCGGUUGGUCGGAGGGGAGGGCGGAGAGGAGAGCCUCCUCGUCCCCAAGGCUCAUCGUUCAUUCAUGGGGCAUUUACCCGGGGUAUCCCCCGUAAAGCCAACCCCGACUCGGCUUCCUCCUCCGGGCCGAGACCCCUUUUGGCCGCCCCCUUACAUCAUUCUCUUGUCCUCGUUGGAAUGGAUCGGGAUCAGAGGCGGAUAUAUAUAUAUAUAUACGUAAUAUCUUAGUGAAGGAUUCAUUUUCGAGCCGCGGCGGCUACUCGAGUCCUCGGCAUUUUCGAGUCGCAAUACGUCUUGCCUUGGCUGGUGAAACAUUGCCCGGUGGACGACUGGCCUGUACCAGCACUGUAUUCGUUCCGCCUGUGCCGACCUCGUAAUUGCUUCGUCGUCUGUAUUUAUUAUCGCCGCGACCGCGUUUGGCUCGCGUGCAACGCCGAUCCUAAUAAUAGCUUUCGAGUCGAAUGUUUUUUGGAAAUGUUAUUGCUUGAUCGAAUGUGACGUAAUGCGACCAGGGUUGCCUUUGUACCGAGUUGGUGUAUUCUUUUGUGACAUCGAAUAGAGAGAAGGUGUAGUUUUUGUCUUCAGUAGUAUGUAAUGCGUCGAAAGAUUUUGUAGAUUGGCGAUUUGGGAAAUACCUUUUGAAUCGAAUGUUUUUGGAAACGUUUGUUUAAUCUUGCGAUGGAGAAAGGGCGAAUAAUGCAAGCGAUUUUGUGACGACGUCGAAAAGUUUCUAGCGAUGGUAAUGUGACGUAAUGCGACCAGGGUUGCCUUUGUACCGAGUUGAUGUAUUCUUUUGUGACAUCGAAUAGAGAGAAGGUGUAGUUUUUGUCUUCCGUAUGUAGUGCGUCGAAAGAUUUUGUAGAUUGGCGAUUUGGGAAAUACCUUUUGAAUCGAAUGUUUUUGGAAACGUUUGUUUGAUCUUGUGAUGGAGAAAGGGCAAAUAAUGUAAACGAUUUUGUCGAAAUAGGGAAAAGUUUCUAUCGAUGGUAAUGUGACCAGGAUUGCCUUUGUAUCGAGUUGAUGUAUUCUUUUGUGACAUCCAAUAGAGAGAAGGUGUAGUUUUUGUCUUCCGCAGUGAGUACGUAAUGCGUCGAAAGAUUUUGUAGGUUGGCGAUCCUGGUUUUGAAUCGAAUGUUUUUGGAAACGUUUGUUUGAUCUUGCGAUGGAGAAAGGGCGAAGUAAAUAAUGCAAGCGAUUUUGUAAUAUCUUUGUAAGGUUGUUCCUGAUUUUGAAAAAGAGACUUUCUUUUUGCGAUAAUUUAAAAAUAGGAGAAAAGUUUGCGUGAAUAGUUUGAUUGUAUUAUAUCUUAUUUUUAUAAAUCUUUGAAUGCAUAGAUCUUCGGACAAAAUUGUGGAUACGAUAAAAGUAUAAAUUUUUCAAUUGAAUAUUAAUUGAUAUAUAGGUGCUUUGGUAAAAAUUGGCUCGCAAUUCGACAAAUAUAUUUCAAAUAUAUUUUCUUUGCGUUUCUUGUAUUGUCAAAAUCUUGUCAAAAGUCUUGUGAAAUGUAUAUAUUUAUAAUAAUAAUCUUCUUUUGACAGUUUUCAAAUAUUUUCAUGUGUUGCAUCUUGUUCAGGUUGUCUCGUUAGAUUGUUCGAGGUGAAUGGGUUGUAGGAAAGAAUCGCAACGAGUUUGAAAGUUUGGAAGAAAGAUUAAAUUAGCGUGGCUGAAUCGUUCGUAGGAGGCUGUUCUUGGCAGCAACUUUCAACUUGGCUGCGCGAUGACGCGAUCAAGACAUUUCUCGAAUCUCUCUCGCGCUUCGCUUGGCUACUUUCUGCCACUUUGUUUGCCGGAAAAAGAAAGGAAAUUGAUGUUCAAUCUUCGAGAAGUUUAUCUCUCUCUGUCUUCUUCUCUUGAUUGCUUUACAGGUCAAUAAAUUUAUGAUGAGAGAGUCCAGAUUGAACGGAUUGAACGGAGCUCGAAUAAGAAAUCGUACCUACUUUAAAUGUUACUACAUUUUGAAAAUUUAAAAUCGAUCAGUUUAUGUUCUUCUUUACAUUUUAUUAUCAUUAUGGAUGAAAAUUCAAAGUUAUUCCACGCAAUUGUUAUAAGUUGCUCCUCUUGUAAGAAGUGAUAAGCGAACCGCGCAAAUAUAAAAAAUAUAUCGUCAAGUCGCAGAAAUUAUUUCCCGCAAUUAACAUCGAGGAUAUAAAUAAUAGAAAUAAAUUGUACUUAUUGAUAAAAUUUUAUCGACGAUAAUACGAAAUUGACAUAAUAAAACCAGCGAGGCGAUUCAAGGAUUCGAUUAUAAUGUAGAGAGGUCAAUUAAAUUUUCCCCAAAUUGUAAUUGAAUCUCGUUUGAAUACGAGUCUCGGUGAAUUUAUACUGUCGCAAUAGUUAAAUAGGGCGAAAAUAUCGUGGAAAACGAAUGAACGUUUCGAAUUUUGAUCGAGCUUCUUUUCUUUCUGCACGGGGCGAUUCAAUAAUAAAUUUCGACAUUAAAAACUGCAAUAAGGGAAAGAUCGAUCCGCUGGCUCAAGUCGCUCAAUUGCCAAGGUAAUUGGCAAGAUCCAAGUUCAGCAAUUCGAUCGACCGACUUUCAGCAGCAGCAUUACAGUUUUAUCCAAGCGAUCUAUAUAUCUCUCCUCCCCCUCCUGGAUAUCCGGCUCGGAAGAACAAAUUUGUCUAGCCAGCUUAAUGAGUCCGAUAAUUGGCCACCCAACAUUCUAAUUCUCCAACGGUCAAUUAACCGCUCUAAUUUCCCUCCUCCCUGGAUCGUGAAAAGUUCGAAAAUAUUCGAAAGAUAUUCAAUAAUUGUUCAAAAAUUGUUCGACCCGGCAUUGCGUGUUCUCGCGUGUUCAGCAAGUUUGAACGCAGCAGCUGAAACGAUAGGAAGGAAUUAAUUCUGCCCUCGAAGCGUUUACCUCGAGGUGGUUACUUACUUCAUGCUCGGGUGGCUACGAUUGGAUUGGAUGCUGCUGUUUAUCGAUAUUUCCAUAUACAAUAUCCUCUUUGUCAAAUUUAUAGAUUUAGUGAUUUUAACGAUUAUCAACGCGGUUCAUCAAGUUUUCAUUAUUCCAAAGAUUCGAUGUUAUACAAAAUUUCCAUAUACCUCGACUUGAACUAGCCUGAAACGGCCCAAGACCAUUGCCUCGAAACGAGAUCCUCCUCCAAUAAUCCCCAACUCCCCAAAAUUCGAGCCCAUUAACCCCGCAUCGGAAACGAGGCGGAAGAAGCCUUCGAAUCCAAAGGUUUCGAUCUUUCGCGGAAAUAAUUUCAAUCCUCCUCCUCCUCCUCCUCUCCUCGGUUACAAAGGACACUCUCGAUGGUGUCCAACGUCAUUUAUCAACGGUGUCACGCGUGAAGAGCGUGGAUUCGAAGGAAGGAAGGAAGGAAGGAAGGAAGGAAGAGACACCGCCGGUAAUUGGCCACUCUUUCCCAUCCCCGCCCCUUCCUUCGUGGUGGCGGCCAACGGCAUUCGGUAUCGAGCGAAACGCACAAAGACCGUCCAAGUAGGGACUAAAUCUUUGUGACUCCAUUAUUGGAUACCUCAUACCUGUCUCUCUUCCUCUCCCACGACGGCGGUGGCUAGCGCGAUAUGAAAUCCCUGCCUGGUUGGAGGAGGGGUUGCGGAGGCACGCGCGCGGGAAACGGUGGCCGGAUCGAAAGUUAUUACAAAUUCCAAUCAUAAAGGCCAAUCGAUAAGCCACGAAGCUUCAAAGAAAAUUAUAAGUUGAGCAUCAUGGAUCCGUGGGGCGGGUGGAGUGGAGAGGGGAGGGUGAAUGGGGGGCGUUAGUCGGGGUUGCCGGGUCGCUGGGGAAGGAGGGGGGGUCGUAAAGCCAUGAAAGCGCCUCGAACAUAGGCGGCAUUGCAGCCAGCUUUUAAAGUUAAUAAAUUCGUCGGCUUGCUCCACUCUCUCGCGCCGUUCCCCCUUCGCCUGUCUCUUUUCCACCUUCGUGGACAGCGCGCCGUCUUCUCUCGCUUCUCUCUUUUUUUUCACUCCUCCUCCUCCUCCUCGCCUUCCCCUCCCUCUCUUUCUUUUAUCAACCAGGCAGGAGAAGAGAUUUAAAGUUGGCUCGAAGAACGAGGUGAAACGGAUUUAAUAAUAUCCUGUAUCAAUAAUAAAUCGGGUUCGUAUUUAUCGGUAUUUUCUGCGGGCAAUUUUCUGCCCCCAGAUGGCGCGCGCCACUUAUCGGAUGGCAAGGUUUCAGGAUCAAGAUUCAAAUAGGUUUCGAAGGAAGGAAUGUUUGAUUAUUUUUAGGAUAGGAUGUUAACUUUUCGUUGGAAAAUGAUACAGUGGAUGAGUUAUUGCGCGAGGAUUGAAAGAAAAUUAAUGUUCUCUCUCAUAAUUUAAAGUAAUCACGGAAUAAUAGAAUUUUAAUUCGAAAAUAAUAAUUUCGUCAGCCACCUUCUCCGUUAAUGUUUAUUUUAAUGCGCGAAAAAUUCGGUCGAGAAAAAAUUCCAAGUUGGUGGCUCGAUUAAAAAGAAGGAAGAAAUUUCAAAAGCCAUCUGGAUUUAAUUUCGUUUCGAUCUCGAGGAAUGGGCGAGGGGGAGGGAAGCAACAUCUCACCGGAAGAGGUUUACAAGAGGGGUUGGAAGGGGAACACGCCGUGGUCGGAUACCGGCAGGAUUGCCAAGGGGGCAAGUCCGGGCGAGUAUUAGGGCAAUAAUCGUGUGACAAAGCCCUGGUCACCUGAUGGCCCUUCCGGGGAUGGGAUAUGGACGCGCUUUGUUAGCCGAGAAUUUGUUGGAUCCGCGGGAAAAUGACGCGGGAAGAUCAAAGUCGGGCCGCAAAUUGUUACAUCCGGCUAGCCUUACCGCCGCAAAUAGGCGCUACGUGACAAAUGGACGACGAAUAAUCAAAGAAACGGGAAGAACAUCCUCGCUUUGACAAAUUUGGGACACGUUGCUUACGCCGUUACCUCGCCGAAUUUAACCAAGUCCGCUUCAUUCCAAACAUCUUAUUUCAUUUCUCCAAAUUGAACGUUCCGAUGAUCCCUUUGAACAAUUUUUCGAUAUGAAAGAAACGAAAAUAACGAUAUUAAUUUGGAUUAAAUUUCCAUUUUAUUUUAAUAUCGUUUGGGAAGUUGUUGUGCGCGAAUUGUCGUCGCGGUUGAAAAUACUGUGUACGAAAAUUGUAAAUUGAAAGGCUGUUUAAGGAGCGGGUUGGUUUAUCAAAGAUCGGGAAAUUCGUUGGUGGAGAAAAGCCGCGGUCGGUUCUUUGUGUCUCUUGUUUGCCGCGGGAAAAUUGCCUUUUGUCGCGACGAGAAUCGUGAUCCAGGAAUUGUCGAAUUUAUGGAGGAGCUCUGUUCCGUUAAUAAAUAGGAUGUUACGCGAAUGGGGACAAAGGUGGGGAGGGAAAAUUGGGACGUAGGUUAAUUUCAACCACGAUUUAAUUGUCCACGAAAGGGAAACGAUUUUGAGGCGAAUUUUAAAAGUUCGGUUCAAGAGGCGGCGGUGGAAUUCUCGCGGAAAUUUUGAUGUUUCCGUUGUGGCUGGAGGAUAGAAAAAUACAAGGUAUAUCGCGAGAUAUCGCUUUGUAAACAACGAGCGUACAAAUGAAACGCGACCAGAGUUAUUUUUACGUUCCCCCUUUAUCCUUCAAUUGUUGGCAGAUCUCGUUAUAAACUCCGGUGUACACGGUUGAAUGAUUGACAUUUCGAAAUUCCAACACGUCGAUAACUAAUGGAUGACUCCGAAAUGGAUAUGUCUUGUUACGGAUUAGUUCCGCUUCGACCGAGCACUCUCCGUAAUGUACACUCCGCGUAUCCAACCAUCCUACGUGCUAAUAACUUCAAACUGUAUAAAACCGAAUAAAUCGAAAUCCAUUAGAAAGAUUUUAGAAGCGUCAACUUACAAUUGAUCGAAAGACUUCUCUUACGAGGUGAGGGAGGAAAAAAUUUCUCUCGUUUCUUUCUAACAUCGGUUUAUGAAUAAUGUACGCUAUAAUAAAUCCGUUGGAAAGACACUUUCUAACAUUUCACCCUAUGAAUAACGUACACCGUCCAACUUUUCAUUAGUAACUUGCGCCAAGUAAAAGCGAACGAAUCGAAGUUAGAAACAAUUAGAAGCAUCGAUUGACCAAAACACGUUUCGAAUAAGUUUCUUUCCAACAUCCCUCUCUACAAAUAACUCGGAUACACUGCUAAUCCAAUAAUUCUGAAAAA